UGGAAACUUCUGUUUCAUGUUUAUAUUUUGAACAUGAAGGGCAUUAAAACAUUUUUUAUUUUUUCAUUAUGGAUGCCCUUCACUGUGGUCCCAGAAGUGAAUAAACAGACAUGCAGUGUGCUUUACAGAAGCGAUGUGGAUGAAAAAUCCUUCACACAGUCUAGUUACAAAACUGGAGAAAAAGUUUAUUUCACUUGCAAGGGAGGAUACAGAAAAAAAGAGAAUACAGACUACAUCACAUGCACAGAAGGUGUCUGGGAGCCAAGAGAUAUGUGUGAAGUGAUGACUUGCAGUGUGACAGAUCAAGAUCCAUUUGUCAUUGGGAGAUCAAGACACUAUGACGGACUUUACAGAGUUGAACCAUAUCAGUACAGGUAUAACUGUAAGGAAGGAUAUGAAAAACCAGACAGAUAUGCUUAUGCACAAUGUACAAUAAAUGGAUGGAAGCCAGAUCCACUGUGUCAGAUUCUGAAAUCAGUUCUGGUCCUGCUUUGUUAUAUUAAACAAUUUUUGAAGGAGUACAUUGAUUAAAAGAUUAUUUCAGAAUGCUCAUUACAAACACAAUAGACUGAAAAGAUGUGAGGUUCUGACAAAUGCCAAGUAGCCACAUAUUUAAGUAUUAGCCCUUUAUGUAGUGUCCUUUACGCACAAGAGUUAGACAAUCUCAGUGAGCUCCACUACAUCACACACUGAAAUGUAGAUAUUAGUAAGACAUUAACUUCCUUUGCACUUCAACUCUGUCUUUCACUACAUCAUUGAAAGAAUGUUUUAUUGAUGGUAGAAACAGCUCAAUCAUCGACAUCAUCGCUGUCAUGAAAAAAAGUCUUGCGGGAUUUUUCCUGGCCUAAAAAUUGUUUUACAUUUACGUUAACAUUUACAUUUAUUCAUUUAGCAGAUGCUCUUCUCCAAAGCGAUGUACAUCACAUAGAAAAUACAAUGUAUGCAUUACAUUAACAGAAAGAGAGACUUAGUGUCAAGAAUGAGGAUGGGAGACCAAUGAGUAG
rnacentral:lncRNA from 1 species